GCUUGCCUGGAGGCAUACCCACAGCUACAUAAGAUAAGGGGAGUUGCACACACAGGUUUACUGAUAAGAGAAGUUACUCAAACUGCUACAGACAUGAGAGGAGUUUCUUAUAAAAGCUUUCGAAUUCAGAUGUAACCCAGCAAUGCACUCAGACUCCUCUCUGCUGUGGAGAGCUUUUUUUUUUUUUUUUCAUAUUAAACUUUCACUCCAACUUUAUCUUUGUGUUUACAAUUCUUAAUUUUUUUGUCUUGGAUAAAGAACAAAAAACCUGGAGUACUUCUUCAGACAACAAGAAACUUCCAAAUUAAGGUGCAUUGGCAAGAAUGCAACAUAUUUUGAUCCAUUGGCUUGGAAGGAGGGAAUUCAUCAGAAGGAGUCAAGGACACUUGUCUUGAGCUAGCUACACCCUUUCACAACUCAGUAAGGAGUGAAGACUGAUUUUGCAGAGCCAAUAAAGGCCCCUGGGGAAACUGGCCUCAUAUCUUGUCAUGAAGAUUUUAUACAGGUUUCCUAACCUGUGGUGAGUAAAGAAUGUCCCUCUCUAACAGGUCUACCCCAUGCUCUUGGAACCUCAAGAAGAGACAAGUUUACCCAACUCACAGUGCUCACUGCUGCAAAGAAGAACAAGCACACAGGCAAAAAGUUUUCCCAGCAAGAAUGCCAGGGUGAAAGGAAAGAUCAAUUGGACCAGAGCACAAGUGCUGCUCCAGUUACUUGGCAGAGUACCUAAUAGUGAUCCACCACAAUACCACCAUAUAUCUGUUUGGGAAUAAACAAGGGCAAGUUGACUGCUUAAGAGUGAUGACAUGCAACUCAGUCUCUUGCAACACCACCUGAGAAAAGGAAGCACUAGCAGGAAGAACAAAUUGAUGGAGAGGAAAAGUGAUGAAUACAGAUAAGAAGCACAGCUGGUGGAGGCUCAUGUGCCAGUUUACUGGGCCUCAGGACAUUCUCCUCUAGAAGGAGGAGACAGCAUGACCCCCACUUUCUUUUAUUUUAUUAUAAUUUAAGUUUUAGGGUACAUGAGCACAAUGUGCAGGUUAGUUACAUAUGUAUACAUGUGCCAUGCUGGUGUGCUACAGCCAUUAACUCAUCAUUUAGCAUUAGGUAUAUCUCCUAAUGCUAUCCCUCCCCCCUACCCCUACCCCACAACAGCCCCCAGAGUGUGAUGUUCCCCUUCCUGUGUCCAUGUGUUCUCAUUGUUCAAUUCACACCUAUGAGUGAGAAUAUGUGGUGUUUGGUUUUUUGUCCUUGUGAUAGUUUACUGAGAAUGAUGAUUUCCAAUUUCAUCCAUGUCCCUACAAAGGACAUGAACUCAUCAUUUUUUAUGGCUGCAUAAUAUCCCAUGGUGUGUAUGUGCCCCAUUUUCUUAAUCCAGUCUAUCAUUGUUGGGCAUUUGGGUUGGUUCCAAGUCUUUGCUAUUGUGAAUAGUGCCGCAAUAAAUGUACGUGUGCAUAUGUCUUUAUAGCAGCAUGAUUUAUAGUCCUUUGGGUAUAUACCCAGUAAUGGGAUGGCUGGGUCAAAUGGUAUUUCUAGUUCUAGAUCCCUGAGAAAUCACCAAACUGACUUCGACAAUGGUUGAACUAGUUUACAGUCCCACCAACAGUGUUAGUCCAUUUACAUUUAAAGUUAAUAUUAUUAUGUGUGAAUUUGAUCCUGUCAUUAUGAUGUUAGCUGGUUAUUUUGCUCGUUAGUUGAUGCAGUUUCUUCCUAGCUUUGAAGGUCUUUACAAUUUGGCAUGGUUUUGCAGUGGCUGAUACCGGUUUUUCCUUUCCAUGUUUAGUGCUUCCUUCAGGAGCUCUUUUAGAGCAGUAAUCUCUCAGCAUUUGCUUGUCUGUAAAGUAUUUUAUUUCUCCUUCACUUAAGAAGCUUAGUUUGGCUGGAUAUGAAAUUCUGGAUUGAAAAUUCUUUUCUUUAAGAAUGUUGAAUAUUGGCCCCCACUCUCUUCUGGCUUGCAGAGUUUCUGCCAAGACAUCAGCUGUUAGUCUGAUGGGCUUCCCUUUGUGGGUAACCUGACCUUUCUCUCUGGCUGCCCUUAACAUUUUUUCCAUCAUGUCAACUUUGGUGAAUCUGACAAUUAUGUGUCUUGGAGUUGCUCUUCUUCAGGAGUAUCUUCAUGGCAUUCUCUGUAUUUCCUGAAUCUGAAUGUUGGCCUACCUUGCUAGAUUGGCGAAGUUCUCCUGCAGAGUGUUUUCCAACUUGGUUCCAUUCUCCGCAUCACUUUCAGGUACACCAAUGAGACGUAGAUUUGGUCUUUUCACAUAGUCCCAUAUUUCUUGGAGGCUUUGUUCGUUUCUUUGUAUUCUUUUUUCUCUAAACUUCCCUUCUUGCUUCAUUUCAUUCAUUUCAUCUUCCAUCACUGAUACCCUUUCUUCCAGUUGAUUGCAUCAGCUCCUGAGGCUUCCUCAUUCUUCACGUAGUUCUCAAGCCUUGGCUUUCAGCUCCAUCAGCUCUUUUAAGCACUUCUCUGUAUUGGUUAUUCUAGUUAUACAUUCGUCUAAAUUUUUUUCAAAGUUUUCAACUUCUUUGCCUUUGAUUUGAAUUUCCUCCUGUAGCUCGAAGUAGUUUGAUCGUCUGAAGCCUUCUUCUCUCAACUCGUCAAAAUCAUUCUCCAUCCAGCUUUGUUCCAUUGCUGGUGAAGAAUUGCGUUCCUUUGGAGGAGGAGAGGCGCUCUGCUUUUUAGAGUUUCCAGUUUUUCUGCUGUGUUUUUUCCCCAUCUUCGUGGGUUUAACUACUUUUGGUCUUUGAUGAUGGUGAUGUACAGAUGGGUUUUUGGUGUGGAUGUCCUUUCUGUUUGUUAGUUUUCCUUCUAACAGACAGGACCCUCAGCUGCAGGUCUGUUGGAGUUUUCUAGAGGACCACUCCAGAUCCCGUUUGCCUGGGUAUCAGCAGCGGUGGCUGCAGAACAGCAGAUUUUCAUGAACCACGAAUGCUGCUGUCUGAUGGCUCCUCUGGAAGUUUUGUCUCAGAGGAGUACCUGGCCAUGUGAGGUGUCAGUCUGCCCCUACUGGGGGGGUGCCCCCCAGUUAGGCUGCUCGGGACCCCCAAUUUGUUUGUGUAUCUCAGGGUGAGUUUGUGCCAUUUUCUGUUAGCCUUAUUGGUCUCUGUGUCUGUGGUGCACUUCAUUCAUCAGCGUCUGUGUUUGUUUGCAUUUUUUACUUGUCUCUCCAUCUAUUUCUCUGAUUUUGUUACAUUUUACAUUUUAAGUUUCAUUAUAUUUUCCAUUCACAUAUUAUACAUGCACAACUAUAUGGCAGACCAUGUUAUUUUAAAACAUGCAUACAAUAUACCAAAUAAUGGUAUUUAUUCAUCUCCUCUAAUGUUCCUCGUGAUUAGAACCCUAGGAAUUCUCUCUUCUAUUUAGAAAUAUAUAAUGCAUUGUUAUUAAAAAUAGUGACCCUGCUGUGCAAUGGAAUACCAUUGCUUCUUUUUUUUCAAUUUAACUACUUUUUUUGUAUUUAUUUACCAACUUCUUCCUAUCCCUACAUUUCUAAUUCUUUCUAGACCCCCAUAACCACUAUUCUUCCCUAUAAUUCUAUGAGAAAAUUUUUUAGAUUCCACAUAUAGGUCAGAUAAUGUGUUAUUUUUAUUCCUACACCUAGGUUAUUUUGCUUAGUUACAUGUAAAGGAAUAUACAUGGUAUGUGGCAUGGCAAAUGAUAAAAGUUCAUUUUUAAUAGAUAUAUACUAUUUCAUUGUGUGUGUGUGUACAUAUACCACAUUUUAAAUUCAUUUGUCUGUUUAUGAACAUCCAGGUUUAAUAUUGUAUUGUUCAUGGUGAAUAGUGCUGUAAUAAACAAAAAAGAGCAAAUAUUUAUUUGACAUGCUAAUUUUCUUUCCCUUGCCUACAUACUCAGUGGUGCAGAUUGUUCAGUCAUGUGGAAACUUUCAUGUAAAUUUUUUAGAGAUCUACAGAAUGUCUUCCAUACUGAUUCUACUAAUUUACAUUCCAUCCAAGAGGAUGUUUUGUGCAGUUCCCCACUUUUCUUUUCUCCACAUCCCUGGCAAUACUUGUUAUUCUUUUGCAAUUUUUAGUUAUAUCCAUUAUUAUUCUAAUAGAUUCACUGAGCUGAAAGGACUUGUCAUAUUUUCUUAUGGGUUUUCCUGGCAUUUCUCCAAUAAAAAUUAUGUUGAACUUUUAUUUAGAAAUGUGUUGGAAGUAUCUGUGUCAUUUUUGGAGAAAUGUCUAUUUACAUCUUUUGAACAUUUUUAAUUAGAAAAUUUUUGGCUAUUGUUUCUUAUUUGUUCUGGAUACUAAGUUUUUUUCUUUUUUUUCCUUUUGUUUUGGAGAUGGAGUCUUACUCUGUCACCCAGGCUGGAGUGCAGUGAUGCAACCUUGGCUCACGGCAACCUCUGCUUCCCAGAUCAAACGAUUCUCCUACCUCAGCCUCCUGAGUAGCUGGGAUUACAGGUGUGUGCCACCACACCCA
rnacentral:lncRNA from 1 species